UAAUUGGUUAAGAACGAGAACAAGUUGCAAGACCCUACUAUUCAAUCUUAAGGUUCAAGGUCACAUUAGUAUGAUAAGAUGGGUCGUUUCUCUUAGGGUCAUCUAGUCAUUAUCCACAUAAUUCCUCCUCAAUAAUUGAAAGAUUAUGUCCCCUAAACCUACUUUGGAGGCUUAUGUAGUGGAGAGCUUAUUUGUAAAGGCUUUGGUAGUUUUUAGAAUAGUUUAGUUGGAUAUAAUUUUUAUGCAACUAAAAAGAGAGAGAGAGAGGAAGAAUAGUGGAGUCUAAUCAAUUUUUUUCUAUUAGAAACCUAGUUCUAGAUAUAUUAAGUGAUCUAUGAUUUUAUAUUUAUAAAGUGAACUAUAAGAGAAGUAUUAUUCAAAAGAGAAAAAAAAAAAAAAAACAGAGAGAGAGAAAGAAGUAAUUUGUAAUAGAAAGAACGCAAUCAAACAUAAAAUAAAAAAAAGUAAUGAAGAUCUCCCCCAUCUCAUAGGAUGGAUUUCAAGUUCUAAUCUCAAACAGGCAAACUCAAUAAAAGAAAUUAAUCUUGACGUGGUCUUUAAAUUAGUGUAUCUACUAACCUAUGGACAUCUCAUUUCCCUUAAGAAGGAUGAGGCUAGAAGAACAAAUUAAUUUGCGAAAAUAAAAAUAAAGAAGAUAUAAAAUGUUUUAAUAAAAACUCACCGGAGAGUGAGUGUUGAUAUAGAUGACUAAGAGAACUAGAUUACCUAAAAUUCAUUUGUAUCACCACAACAUCCACAAAUUGAUCCUCAUGAUAAAAUUGCAUACCCAGUGGGUUACAAGUAAUAUCAAGUACUUGCAAUUUGCAAAUGAGAGUUUGAGUAUUCAAUAGCAAUAUGCCUAUAUUACAUUCCAAUAGACUUAAAGUUUAGAUUAAAUUCAUUGUAAAUUUUGUAAUAUGGUGAGUUCCAAUAAGCUCAAAUAAGCAAAUUCCAAGUACAAUGAUAGUUACAUCGAUUGAUUGCAAUUUUCGAGCAUCCAACCUUUCACGAAGCCAUAAUCCAAAUGAGCUUAAACCUUGUAUACUACGAGUAGGCUAAAGUCUCAUGAACACGUUUUAAUCAUCAUCUAUGCAAUCAAAAUAUAAAUGAAAUUUUUGCACAAAUUUGUUCCCAAAUCUCUUCAACAUGGAUUACUUUGACGCACUAUUAUCAUCAAAUUCCAAAGACCCACGAACAAUCCACGCCCACAUUAUCAAAACAUCAAACGCACAACAUUCCCUCUCUUUCCUCAACAGGUUGAUCACUUUUUACUCAAAAUCCCACCAUUUUUCCGAAGCUUUUGCAGUUUUCCGGCAAAUCCCAUCUCCCAACGUCGUCUCAUGGACUUCCCUCAUCUCCGGCAACCCCAAUUCUCCGCUUUCUCUGCGCCAUUUCAUCGCCAUGCUCCGCCACCCUACUCGCCCCAAUCAGCGAACUUUAGCCUCUAUUAUCAAGACUUGUGCUACUCUUUCUCUGCUAACCUUUGGAACCCAGGUUCAUUCUCUCUCCCUUAAGCUUUCUCUGUCAUCUCAGCCCUUUUGCGCUUCUGCCCUUGUUCAUUUUUACUCGAAAUUGCGGCUUCCUGAUCAUGCAUUUAAGGUGUUCGAUGAAAUGCCUGAGAGAGAUGGGGUUUGUUAUUCGUCUAUGGUUGUUGGGUUUGCUCAGAAUUCUCGUCCUGUUGAGGCUUUGGGUCUUUUUGCUGAGAUGGUGUCUCGGAAUGCGAGUUCUACGGUUUAUAGUGUUUCCGGGGCGCUAGGUGCUGGUGCCGAGCUUGCUACUUUGGAACAAUGUAGAGUUAUUCAUGGUCAUGGAGUUGUUACAGGGCUUAUUAAAGCUAUUUAUGUUAGUACUGGAUUGGUUACUGCAUAUGGGAAGUGUGGUAUGGUAAUGGAAGCUAGGAGGGUGUUUGAUGAGUUCUUGCCUGAUAUGAAUAUUGUGGGAUGGAAUGCCAUGAUGGCCUCUUAUGCUCAACAAGGUGAUCAAUCUUCAGUUCUUGAGCUUUUUGGUUUAUUCGAAUCGCGAGGACUUGCACCUGAUGAUUUCAGUUUCUUGGCUGUGUUAACAUCAUUAUAUAAUGCGGGUUUGGCUGAUGAGACGGAGUAUUGGAUUAAUCAGAUGAAUGUAAAGUAUGGUUUAAAGCCUUCAUUAGAGCACUAUACUUGUUUAGUGGGUGCAUUGGGUAGAGUUGGGAGAUUGGAUGAUGCUGAGCGGAUUGCUAUGACCAUGCCAAUUAAGCCGGAUGCUGGUGUGUGGCGGGUUUUACUGUCAGCAAGUGCGGCACAUGGUGAUGCUGAUGUUGCUUGGAGGAUGAGUAAGCGGUUAUUGGAACUUGACCCUAAUGAUGACUCCGCGUAUGUGAUAGCUGCGAAUACAUUCUCUGCUUCGGGGAGGUGGAAUGAGGCUGCAAAUGUUAGGAAGAUGAUGAAUAAUGUGAACGUGAAGAAGGAAGGUGGGAGGAGUUGGAUGGAAGUUCGAGGAAAAGUGCACAUGUUUUUAGCAGGGGACAGCGAGCAUGAACAGAUAAAAGAGGUUUAUGCAAAGCUUGCAGAACUCAUGAAAGAGAUUGAAAAACUCGGUUAUGUGCCAAAUUGGAGCGAGAUGUUACAUGAUGUUGAGGAAGGGGAGAAAAGAGAAGGGCUUUCAUAUCAUAGUGAGAAGUUGGCGUUGGCAUAUGGGGUGUUAAGUGGGGCAGCACCUCCUGGAAAACCUUUGAGGAUUCUGAAGAAUCUUAGAAUUUGCAGGGAUUGCCAUGAAGCCUUCAAGUAUUUCAGUAGGCUGUUGGAAAGGGAAAUUAUUGUGCGCGAUGUCAACAGAUACCAUAGAUUUAUUGACGGAAGCUGUACUUGCCGAGAUUAUUGGUAACCCGUGUAAAGUGUUACUACAUUACCAGCUAUGGCAACUAACAAGUUGCAUUGUUUUCAGUCAGCUGAACUAUGGUACAAUUUUCCUCCCUAUUUGAGGGAUUGGCAAAGAGUGUUUCAUCCAAGGGCAGGAACACUAAG